UACACGAGUGGCGAACGGGUGAGUAACACGUGAGUAACCUGCCCUUGACUUUGGGAUAACUUCAGGAAACUGGGGCUAAUACCGGAUAGGAGCUCCUGCUGCAUGGUGGGGGUUGGAAAGUUUCGGCGGUCGGGGAUGGACUCGCGGCUUAUCAGCUUGUUGGUGGGGUAGUGGCUUACCAAGGCUUUGACGGGUAGCCGGCCUGAGAGGGUGACCGGCCACAUUGGGACUGAGAUACGGCCCAG
rnacentral:rRNA from 1 species